GUUGUGGGAUAUUCUGAUGCAGAUUGGGCUGGUUGUCCUUUUGACAGACGAUCUACCUCAGGUUACUGUGUACUCAUUGGUGGUAAUCUUAUAUCUUGGAAGAGUAAGAAACAAGAUGUUGUUGCUAGAUCCAGUGCUGAAGCUGAAUACCAUGCUAUGGCUCUUGUCACGUGUGAGUUGAUAUGGCUGAAGCAUUUACUUCAAGAGUUACAGUGUGGCCAAGUAGCUCAAAUGACAUUAAUAUGUGACAACCAAGCAGCUCUUCAUAUUGCCUCAAAUCCAGUCUUUCAUGAGAGGACCAAACAUAUUGAAGUUGACUGCCACUUUAUCAGGGAGAAAAUUGUGUCUGGGAGUAUCAAGACUAGCUUUGUCAACUCUGUAGAUCAGUUGGCUGAUAUCCUAACAAAGUCUCUUAGGGCUCCUAGAGUUGGGCAUAUUUGUAACAAGCUUGGAGCAUAUGAUCUAUACUCUCCAGCUUGAGGGGGAGUGUUAAACCCUAAAGCCCGUUUAUAGAUAAGCCCAUUAGGGUUUUCUCUAUUUUGUAUAAGUAGUGGUAGUCUGUACAGUUCUACAUAUUGAGAUAUAUACAAAUAUACAUUAUUCUCUCAAGUUGUACAGAUCCAAUGACUAAAAAUCUACCUCUGUAACUUUCCCUAAAUCUCUACACAAACUAAGGAUUCUAUAAUGUUCUAUGCUUCUCUACUACCCCUAGAGUUAUGUAUAUGAUUUUAGAACAUUCUUAACAACUAUGGGAAGCUAUGUACAACUCCUAGAAAAGUCGGAAAGAUGUAGCAAACUUCGGUAAAGUGUCGCAAAGUGCCCCACGCGUUACACCUAGUACCCCUAGGGUAUGUGGUUGAGGUAAGAGAUCAUUAAAAAGUUUGUGCGUGCUAUGUAACAUUACAGAUUCAUUUAAAACGAAUGUGUUACUCUAUAUUUUGUGGUAUAGCUUUCUAGAGUUUCCUAAUGUCAGUUUUCUUUUAUAUCUGUUUAACUUAAACGUGGAUAACUUGAUAAAUUGCAUUCAAUGUGUGCAUUUAGUUUGAACUAUCUGUACCUCUUUCUAGUUCACAUUGGAGAGGCAUAAAUAUAUAAUCCUUUUCCAAAGUUAUAAUUCAGCAUACUUUUGUAAUGUUAAAAUAUGCUCUUCCAAACAGCCUGUAGAUCAACUUGAAUCUUUUCCUUUUGUUUUGAGGGGUUUCUCUUUGUGAUGGUGUUCAUUUGGUUAUGUUGCAGUUCUACGAUAUUGCAUACAUAUUCAUCUUUAAUUGGAUUGCUAAUAUGCUGUAGAAUUCUAAUUUCUCAUUUUUACCGGAUGUUAUCAUCAGUAUUGAUGAUUGUGAAUAGUGGUGUAAACAAUACAAGUUUUUUAUGAGCUAAUUUAGCUGCGCUGCAGCUUGGAUUUAAUUAAUCAAUAUUAUUGAGUCGAGCUAAACUUGAGUGCAUCAAUACUCAGCUCGAGUAGGUCUCCCUUAAUUUUUUAAAAUAUAUUUUAUAUAAUAGUAUAAAUAAAUACUGAUAUAUUUAUGUAAUUACAGUUUUUUCAGAUUUCGUUUAUCUAUUUACUGAACUCCCCUAAUGUAUAAAUACACUCUCUGAAUUCAUCCCGUCCCAUAUCUCAGUCAACCUCGGGCUCCAUGCUAGUUCUCAUCCUUGUUCACGUACUAACUCCUUCUUGGAUUUCAACAACAACCAGAUCGAACUCAGUUUUUCUUAUGACUUCUGAGUGACUUAAUUGGAAAAUGUCCCAUGGAUAGAUGUAGGGGUACAUCAAUAGCUGGAUUCUGGCACGCUUGAUUUUUCUGGAGGCAUUUGCUUUGCUUCGGCUGGUUAAAGUAGAGGAGGCUGGAGAAUACACCUUGGAUUUGAAUUGAAGAAAGUUGCAGAUCCAAGUUGUGAAUCUGAUAACUCAAAUUGUUUGGAACUUGACGAAUUGAAGCGGUAUUUGCUGGUGCUGCUGCAAAGGAUUGUCAGCCAAAAAUGCAAGACAUUAAAUGAUCAAAUGAAUGCAGGCCGGAAUUGAAGAGCAUGCAUGAGCUCUCUGGUGCAAAAAUUGUGAGCUAUACUAGAAGGUUGUGUCAUGUGUGCUCACAAAAUGUAGUGUUUGGUUGGUUGAAUUUAAGCCAAGAGUUUGACACAUGUAUAUCGAGGCAAGCUUGACUUUACAGGGUCCAAGCCACAUUAUUUAGUCCUAAUCAGGUACUUCGGCUUGAUUCUCACAAGUGACGAUUCCUUCUGGAUCAGUUCCUGUGCUUCUCGGGACUGAACUGUAGUUUCAGUAUGUAUAUAACUUAACUAUAUACGGAGUAACAUUUUAUAAAAAAAGGGAGUUAACUAUGUCAUUUUGAACCCUGGAGUCCAGGAUAUAAUUGAAUUGCUA